rnacentral:rRNA from 1 species
UUCCGGUUGAUCCUGCCGGACCCGACUGCUAUCAGAGUGGGACUAAGCCAUGCGAGUCAACAUAGCAAUAUGUGGCAUACGGCUCAGUAACACGUAGUCAACAUGCCCAGGGGACGUGGAUAACCUCGGGAAACUGAGGAUAAACCGCGAUAAGUCACUACUUCUGGAAUGGGUAAUGACUCAAAUCUACAUGGCCCCUGGAUUGGACUGCGGCCGAUCAGGCUGUUGGUGAGGUAAUGGCCCACCAAACCUGUAACCGGUACGGGCUCUGAGAGGAGGAGCCCGGAGAUGGGCACUGAGACAAGGGCCCAGGCCCUAUGGGGCGCAGCAGGCGAGAAACCUUAGCAAUGUGCGAAAGCACGACUAGGUUAAUCCGAGUGAUUUCUGUUGAAGAAAUCUUUUGUCAGUCGUAAAACCACAGACGAAUAAGGGGUGGGCAAGUCUGGUGUCAGCCGCCGCGGUAAUACCAGCACCUCGAGUGGUCAGGAGGUUUAUUGGGCCUAAAGCAUCCGUAGCCGGCUACGCAAGUCUCCGGUUAAAUCCAGCUGCUCAACAGAUGGGCUGCCGGAGAUACUACAUAGCUAGGGAGCGGGAGAGGUAGACGGUAUUCUGUGGGUAGGGGUAAAAUCCACUGAUCCAUAGAGGACCACCAGUGGCGAAGGCGGUCUACCAGAACGCGUUCGACGGUGAGGGAUGAAAGCUGGGGGAGCAAACCGGAUUAGAUACCCGGGUAGUCCCAGCUGUAAACGAUGCAAACUCGGUGAUGCAUUGGCUUAUGGCCAAUGCAGUGCCGCAGGGAAGCCGUUAAGUUUGCCGCCUGGGAAGUACGGACGCAAGUCUGAAACUUAAAGGAAUUGGCGGGGGAGCA